AUGCAUGUCUAAGUAUAAGCAAUUAUACAGCGAAACUGCGAAUGGCUCAUUAUAUAAGUUAUCGUUUAUUUGAUAGUACCUUACUACUUGGAUAACCGUGGUAAUUCUAGAGCUAAUACAUGCUGAAAAUCCCGACUUACGAAGGGAUGUAUUUAUUAGAUUAAAAACCAAUGCCCUCUGGGCUCUCUGGUGAUUCAUAAUAACUUCUCGAAUCGCAUGGCCUUGCGCCGGCGAUGGUUCAUUCAAAUUUCUUCCCUAUCAACUUUCGAUGUUUGGGUAGUGGCCAAACAUGGUUGCAACGGGUAACGGAGGGUUAGGGCUCGACCCCGGAGAAGGAGCCUGAGAAACGGCUACUACAUCCAAGGAAGGCAGCAGGCGCGCAAAUUACCCAAUCCCGACUCGGGGAGGUAGUGACAAUAAAUACUGAUACAGGGCUCUUUUGGGUCUUGUAAUUGGAAUGAGUACAAUUUAAAUCCCUUAACGAGGAACNNNNNNNNNNNNNNNNNNNNNNNNNNNNNNNNNNNNNNUCCAGCUCCAAUAGCGUAUAUUAAAGUUGUUGUGGUUAAAAAGCUCGUAGUUGAACCUUGGGCCUGGCUGGCCGGUCCGCCUCACCGCGUGUACUGGUCCGGCCGGGCCUUUCCCUCUGUGGAACCUCAUGCCCUUCACUGGGCGUGGCGGGGAAACAGGACUUUUACUUUGAAAAAAUUAGAGUGCUCCAGGCAGGCCUAUGCUCGAAUACAUUAGCAUGGAAUAAUGAAAUAGGACGUGCGGUUCUAUUUUGUUGGUUUCUAGGACCGCCGUAAUGAUUAAUAGGGACAGUCGGGGGCAUCAGUAUUCAAUUGUCAGAGGUGAAAUUCUUGGAUUUAUUGAAGACUAACUACUGCGAAAGCAUUUGCCAAGGAUGUUUUCAUUAAUCAGGAACGAAAGUUAGGGGAUCGAAGACGAUCAGAUACC
rnacentral:rRNA from 1 species